GCCUACGGGACGCAGCAGUGGGGAAUUUUGGACAAUGGGCGCAAGCCUGAACGAGCAAUGCCGCGUGAACGAGGAAGGUCUUCGGAUCGUAAAGUUCUGUUGAAGGGGAAAAAGAGCGGAGAGAGGAAAUGGUCUCCGAUUGAUAUUACCCUUCGAGGAAGUCACGGCUAACUACGUGCCAGCAGCCGCGGUAAUACGUAGGUGGCGAGCGUUAUCCGGAAUGAUUGGGCGUAAAGGGUGCGUAGGCGGCCUGCUAAGUCUGGAGUGAACGGUACCGGCUCAACCGGUACAGGCUCUGGAAACUG
rnacentral:rRNA from 1 species